rnacentral:rRNA from 1 species
AUUGAACGCUGGCGGCAGGCCUAACACAUGCAAGUCGAACGGUAACGGGAAGAAGCUUGCUUCUUUGCUGACGAGUGGCGGACGGGUGAGUAAUGUCUGGGAAACUGCCUGAUGGAGGGGGAUAACUACUGGAAACGGUAGCUAAUACCGCAUAACGUCGCAAGACCAAAGAGGGGGACCUUCGGGCCUCUUGCCAUCGGAUGUGCCCAGAUGGGAUUAGCUAGUAGGUGGGGUAACGGCUCACCUAGGCGACGAUCCCUAGCUGGUCUGAGAGGAUGACCAGCCACACUGGAACUGGGACACGGUCCAGACUCCUACGGGAGGCAGCAGUGGGGAAUAUUGCACAAUGGGCGCAAGCCUGAUGCAGCCAUGCCGCGUGUAUGAAGAAGGCCUUCGGGUUGUAAAGUACUUUCAGCGGGGAGGAAGGGAGUAAAGUUAAUACCUUUGCUCAUUGACGUUACCCGCAGAAGAAGCACCGGCUAACUCCGUG